rnacentral:rRNA from 1 species
UGGUGGGUUGCCUUGUCAGGUUGAUUCCGGUAACGAACGAGACCUCAGCCUGCUAAAUAGUCCCGCCUGGUUCUUCCAGGCGGCCGACUUCUUAGAGGGACUUUCGGCGUUCUAGCCGAAGGAAGUGUGAGGCGAUAACA